rnacentral:rRNA from 1 species
CUACGGGUCGCUCCAGUGGGGAAUAUUGGACAAUGGGGGAAACCCUGAUCCAGCAAUGCCGCGUGUGUGAAGAAGGCCUGCGGGUUGUAAAGCACUUUCGGUUGGGAGGACUGCUUCUAGCACUAAUAUUGUUGGAAGUUGACGUUACCUUCAGAAGAAGCACCGGCUAACUCCGUGCCAGCAGCCGCGGUAAUACGGAGGGUGCAAGCGUUAAUCGGAAUUACUGGGCGUAAAGCGCGCGUAGGCGGCUAGAUCAGUCGGGUGUGAAAGCCCCGGGCUUAACCUGGGAACUGCAUCCGAUACUGUCUAGCUUGAGUACAGGAGAGGAGAGUGGAAUUCCACAUGUAGCGGUGAAAUGCGUAGAUAUGUGGAGGAACACCAAUUGCGAAGGCAGCUCUCUGGCCUGAUACUGACGCUGAGGUGCGGAAGCGUGGGGAGCAAACAGGAUUAGAUACCCCCGUAGUC